rnacentral:rRNA from 1 species
AUGUAUGUAUCUGGAAGUAUUUCAUUGCUAGAUGUAUAUCCAUUCAAGCGACAAGUAAUUCUAGAUGGAGGGAGUACAUCUUUUGUCAAGUAUUUAGGAACGGAGGGAGUAGAUAGGAUUAUCUUGUUCUUAUCUUCUUCUUCUCCUUCAGCCAGCACCACCACCACCUUCGGAGGCAGUAAACACCAGCAACCACAUGAUCACGACCCUGUGCAACCAGAGAUGGCACACAAUUGCUUCGGAAGUGGUAAGGCCACCACCCUUCCUUGCUUCCUGCAGUGCUUCAAUUUCCUUUUGGUUUGGUGUGGGGGUGCUGUGGUCCAUGUAGUUUGGAGGUGA